CAGCAGCCACGGGAAUACAGAGGGUGCGAGCGUUAAUCGGAUUUACUGGGCGUAAAGCGUGCGUAGGCGGCUUCUUAAGUCGGAUGUGAAAUCCCUGAGCUUAACUUAGGAAUUGCAUUCGAUACUGGGAAGCUAGAGUAUGGGAGAGGAUGGUAGAAUUCCAGGUGUAGCGGUGAAAUGCGUAGAGAUCUGGAGGAAUACCGAUGGCGAAGGCAGCCAUCUGGCCUAAUACUGACGCUGAGGUACGAAAGCAUGGGGAGCAAACAGGAUUAGAUACCCCAGUAGUCCCUGUCUCUUAUAA
rnacentral:rRNA from 1 species